GAUGAACGCUAGCGGCAGGCCUAACACAUGCAAGUCGAGGGGUAGAAGGAGCUUGCUCCUUUGAGACCGGCGCACGGGUGCGUAACGCGUAUGCAAUCUACCUUGUACAGGGGAAUAGCCCAGAGAAAUUUGGAUUAAUGCCCCAUAGUAUAUAACCUUCGCAUGUUGGUUAUAUUAAAGUUCCAACGGUACAAGAUGAGCAUGCGUCCCAUUAGUUAGUUGGUAAGGUAACGGCUUACCAAGACGAUGAUGGGUAGGGGUCCUGAGAGGGAGAUCCCCCACACUGGUACUGAGACACGGACCAGACUCCUACGGGAGGCAGCAGUGAGGAAUAUUGGUCAAUGGUCGCAAGACUGAAUCAGCCAUGCCGCGUGCAGGAAGACGGUCCUAUGGAUUGUAAACUGCUUUUAUACAGGAAGAAACCCUCCCACGUGUGGGAGCUUGACGGUACUGUAGGAAUAAGGAUCGGCUAACUCCGUG
rnacentral:rRNA from 1 species